GAAGUCCGCACCCCGAGUCCGAAACGUGAUGGCGGUGCCUUAGAGCCACAAGUGAUUGAGCCAUGCCGCCUAGAAAAGCUUCUAAGCGUUGAUAUUUGAGUGACCGUACCGCAAACCGACACUGGUAGGUGGGUAGAAUAUACCAAGGGGAGCGAGAGAACCCUCGUUAAGGAAUUAGGCAAAUUUCCCCCGUACGUUCGCAAUAAGGGGGGCCUCUGGUGGUGAGCUUAAUCGCAAAGCUGCUGGAGGCCGCAGAGAAAUGGCUCUUCCAACUGUUUAACAAAAACACAGGUCUCUGCUAAGUCGAAAGACGAAGUAUAGGGGCUGACGCCUGCCCAGUGCUGGAAGGUUAAGGGGAGAGGUUAGGCGCAAGCCGAAGCUUAGAGCCGAAGCCCCAGUGAACGGCGGCCGUAACAAUAACGGUCCUAAGGUAGCGAAAUUCCUUGUCGGGUAAGGUCCGACCCGCACGAAUGGCGUAAUGAGAGGAGCACUGUCUCAACGAGGGACUCGGCGAACAUUGAAGGACGUGUGAAGAUACACGUGACCCGCAGCGGGACAAAAAGACCCCGUGAAGCUUUACUACAACUUGCCAUUGAGUUAGGGCUAAACCUGUGUAGUAUAGGUGGGAGGCUUUGAAGCUGGGACGCCAGUCUCGGUGGAGCCACCGUUGAAAUACCACCCUGGUUUAUUCUUGGCUCUAACCUGUCGCCGUUAUCCGGCAUGGGAACAGUGGCUGGUGGGUAGUUUGACUGGGGCGGUCGCCUCCGAAAGCGUAACAGAGGCGCCCAAAGGUUCCCUCAGGCUGAAUGGAAACCAGCCGUUGAGUGUAAAGGCACAAGGGAGCUUGACUGCAAGACCAACAAGUCGCGCAGGGACGAAAGUCGGGCUUAGUGAUCCCACGGUUCAGAGUGGAAUGGCCGUGGCUUACCGGAUAAAAGCUACUCCGGGGAUAACAGGGUAGUCUGGUCCAAGAGUUCAUAUCGACGACCAGGUUCGCCACCUCGAUGUCGGCUCAUCACAUCCUGGGGCUGGAUAAGGUCCCAAGGGUUGGGCUGUUCGCCCAUUAAAGUGGUACGUGAGCUGGGUUCAGACCGUCGUGAGACAGGUCGGUCUCUAUCCGCUGUGGGCGUAAGGGAUUUGAGAGAAGCUGCCCCUAGUACGAGAGGACCGGGGUGGACGGACCUCUAGUGUGCCAGUUGUUCUGCCAAGAGCAUUGCUGGGUAGCUACGUCCGGCAGAGAUAACCGCUGAAAGCAUCUAAGUGGGAAACUCGUCUCAAGAUUAGAUCCCUCAUCCGUAUGGAGUAAGACCGCUAGAAGACUACUAGUUUGAUAGGCGGCAGGUGUAAGCGCAGUAAUGUGUUCAGCUUAGCCGUACUAAUGGUCGAGGGCUUACGUUU
rnacentral:rRNA from 1 species